rnacentral:rRNA from 1 species
UCAGAGGGGGGUAGANUUCCACGUGUAGCAGUGAAAUGCGUAGAGAUGUGGAGGAAUACCGAUGGNGAAGGCAGCCCCCUGGGAUAACACUGACGUUCAUGCUCGAAAGCGUGGGUAGCAAACAGGAUUAGAUACCCUGGUAGUNCACGCCCUAAACGAUGUCGAUUAGCUGUUGGGCAACUUGAUUGCUUAGUAGCGUAGCUAACGCGUGAAAUCGACCGCCUGGGGAGUACGGUCGCAAGAUUAAAACUCAAAGGAAUUGACGGGGACCCGCACGAGCGGUGGAUGAUGUGGAUUAAUUCGAUGCAACGCGAAGAACCUUACCUGGUCUUGACAUGUACGGAACCUUCCAGAGACGGAAGGGUGCCUUCGGGAGCCGUAGCACAGGUGCUGCAUGGCUGUCGUCAGCUCGUGUCGUGAGAUGUUGGGUUAAGUCCCGCAACGAGCGCAACCCUUGUCAUUAGUUGCCAUCAUUUAGUUGGGCACUCUAAUGAGACUGCCGGUGACAAACCGGAGGAAGGUGGGGAUGACGUCAAGUCCUCAUGGCCCUUAUGACCAGGGCUUCACACGUCAUACAAUGGUCGGUACAGAGGGUAGCCAAGCCGCGAGGUGGAGCCAAUCCCAGAAAACCGAUCGUAGUCCGGAUUGCACUCUGCAACUCGAGUGCAUGAAGUCGGAAUCGCUAGUAAUCGCAGGUCAGCAUACUGCGGUGAAUACGUUCCCGGGUCUUGUACACACCGCCCGUCACACCAUGGGAGUGGGGGAUACCAGAAGCA